rnacentral:rRNA from 1 species
UACGAAGGGGGCUAGCGUUGCUCGGAAUCACUGGGCGUAAAGGGUGCGUAGGCGGGUCUUUAAGUCAGGGGUGAAAUCCUGGAGCUCAACUCCAGAACUGCCUUUGAUACUGAAGAUCUCGAGUCCGGGAGAGGUGAGUGGAACUGCGAGUGUAGAGGUGAAAUUCGUAGAUAUUCGCAAGAACACCAGUGGCGAAGGCGGCUCACUGGCCCGGUACUGACGCUGAGG